AUACGUAGGGGGCGAGCGGUGUCCGGAAUGAUUGGGCGUAAAGGGCGCGUAGGCGGCCCGGUAAGUCUGGAGUGAAAGUCCUGUUUUUAAGAUGGGAAUUGCUUUGGAUACUGUCGGGCUUGAGUGCAGGAGAGGUAAGUGGAAUUCCCAGUGUAGCGGUGAAAUGCGUAGAGAUUGGGAGGAACACCAGUGGCGAAGGCGACUUACUGGACUGGAACUGACGCUGAGGCGCGAAAGUGUGGGGAGCAAACAGGAUUAGAUACCCUGGUAGUCCACACUGUAAACGAUGAAUGCUAGGUGUAGGGGGUAUCGACCCCUUCUGUGCCGCAGGCAACACAAUAAGCAUUCCGCCUGGGGAGUACGGCCGCAAGGUUGAAACUCAAAGGAAUUGACGGGG
rnacentral:rRNA from 1 species